rnacentral:rRNA from 1 species
AGCAGUCGCCGCGGUAAUACGGAGGGGGCUAGCGUUGUUCGGAAUUACUGGGCGUAAAGCGCACGUAGGCGGCUUGGUAAGUUAGAGGUGAAAGCCCGGAGCUCAACUCCGGAAUUGCCUUUAAGACUGCCGAGCUAGUAGGUGAGAGAGGUAGGUGGAAUUCCGAGUGUAGAGGUGAAAUUCGUAGAUAUUCGGAAGAACACCAGUGGCGAAGGCGGCUUACUGGCUCAUUCUAGACGCUGAGGUGCGAAAGCGUGGGGAGCAAACAGGAUUAGAUACCCGCGUAGUCCCUGUCUCUUAUAC